rnacentral:rRNA from 1 species
AAGACCUUGCGCUUUUGGAGCGGCCGAUGCCUGAUUAGCUUGUUGGUAAGGUAAAAGCUUACCAAGGCUUCGAUCAGUAGCUGGUCUGAGAGGACGACCAGCCACACUGGGACUGAGACACGGCCCAGACUCCUACGGGAGGCAGCAGUGGGGAAUUUUGGACAAUGGGGGCAACCCUGAUCCAGCCAUGCCGCGUGAGUGAAGAAGGCCUUCGGGUUGUAAAGCUCUUUCAGCCGGAACGAAACGGUUACGGAUAACACCCGUGACUACUGACGGUACCGGAAGAAGGAGCACCGGCUAACUACGUGCCAGCAGCCGCGGUAAUACGUAGGGUGCGAGCGUUAAUCGGAAUUACUGGGCGUAAAGCGUGCGCAGGUGGUUUUGUAAGUCAGAUGUGAAAGCCCCGGGCUCAACCUGGGAACU